UAUAUAAUGUGAUCUUGUUUUUCCUUAGUCUUUUUCCCCUCUUUUUGUGUUGUUCUCUUCGUUGGUUACCCCUUUUUCUCCUAUGAUUUGCACAACGAAGUUGUGGCUGCGCGUGAUGACAUUUGUAAUUGACUCACUUUAUUCUUUAAACAACAAAGAAGUCAUUGGCAAAAGACUAUCAAAAUUCACGAAGAUGACAUACAUACGGAUUAUCAUCAUAUAUAUCACUAAUGAACUUACAGCACAUAUCUAUAAGACCAAAAAAAAAACGAAAAGAAACACGCGUAUAGAAAUGUGUCUCAGACUCUCACAAAUCGAUGACAUGCAUGUGCCAACUGUACACCCACCGCCAAACAAGAAAAUUGAUGGCAAAAGCCACAGCAGGACAAUUGUAUGUACUAUGUCUGUACGCACCAUGAUCUUUAAUUAAUUUCAGAAAUUGCAAAUAUACUAUGAGAGCCAGGCGUCGUCUUCGUUUCUUGGAUUUGACAUUGUCUUCUUGGCAGUGCAGAUGCAGGGCUCCCACGUGUGUCACCAUUGUCCAGCCACACAACCAAAUAGGUAGCCCUUGACCUUGCUCCUUCCCUGCCGAUCGAUUCAUGUACCAACGACGACGAUACAAGAAGAAUUAAAUAAAAUAACAAUGGAAAUUGUUUAAUUUAGUGCGCCGGGUAAACAAAUCAUAUACUUAUAUGGAAAUAACCAUUGAAAACUGAUUGAAGAACCAUCAGCACAAUCAGCUCGGCUUCAUGCAUGCACUGGAAAGAGGUACUCUAAAAAAUUGAGGAAUUUUGUAACAUAACUUCCUAUCUUGAUUUUUUUAGAAAAAAAAAUCUCCUCCAAUAAUUUGGUAAAAGAGGUACUUAAAAAUAAAAAAGUUGUCUAAUGUCCUCUUCAACUCAUAAGUUUGCAAAAUAGAGAGAACUUUGUAUCCUUUUAAAAAAAAGAUAUGAUCAGCUCUACUAAACCAAAAAACUACAAAUAUAUGUGGACCCUACUAUAAUUUUUUAAAUUUUAGAAAAUUAUUAUAGGUUAUUGUUGGAGAAGAAUAAAAUUUAAAGUUACUACUUUUUUAUUAACUUGUUAGAUCUAUUAGUUUAGCAAGUAAAUUAUAUCAAACUCCUAAAGAUGUUCUAAACAACAACUAAAGCUUAAUUAUCUAAUAUAACCAAAUGGGGAAAUAAUGUGAAAAAUACAGUAUGGGGAUUGUUUGUCUGUUUUUGUCGAUUAGAACAAGAGGGAGUGUCAAAUUUGAUUGGCAACAUUGAACUCUCCAAAUUUGUACUCAUCAGCCAUCGCAAAUCCCAAAUUCAAAAUCCUAGCAAAGUAAAUACAUCCAAAUUCCAAAACAGUGCGUUUUUGUCUGCUGUGCACGAUACUCGGAUCUAUCACAGCACAAAGUUGGUACUAUUAUUGUACCACUCAGUCUUAUUUGUUUGACUGAUAAGCCGUGAUAAAAAUAUUAUUGAAUAGUUGGCAAAUUUGGUGGAUAAAUUCAAGCUAACAAAUGCAAUGCUUUGCCGUGGAAAUGUGGUGGCGGCGGCGUCAGCUCACCUUGGGAGCGGCGCGGCGAGGCUGGAUCGGCUGGCGGUCGUCGAUAUCGGCGCUACGCAGGCGACGGAGCUGAUGGCGGCGACGCCGUUCGCUGUCGUCGUCGUCAUCGUCGCUGGCCGCCGAGGAGGACCACUGGCGGCGCUUCUCCUCCUCGUCGCGGCUGCCGGGUGUAUCGACGACGGCUACAGCGGCGUUGCCGACGAAGCUGGACCAGGAGAGCGCCUUGGUCCUGCG
rnacentral:lncRNA from 1 species